GGAAACCUGAAAGUAAUAGUUGGUUCGAAAAAUAAACGUCUGAGAUUUGUCCACGUCAUCACGGAUAAAAAUUUUACUCGCAGAUUUACUUAUGAGCUAAAAUUUAACUCAAUUUUAAGAUUUUAACUCAUGUAGCACGUUUUAACUCAGACGUCGAAUUUUAACUCAUAAUGACAUGGAUGAAUUUCAGAUGUCCAUUUUUCGGUCCAACGGUAGCUUCCAAAUUUUC
rnacentral:pre_miRNA from 1 species